UGAUCGGCCCUUUUCAGGGCCACCCAAUUGUACGACUUCCCCGCUGG
rfam:Rhodnius prolixus Rhodnius_prolixus-3.0.3-6988.1, whole genome shotgun sequence.